GAUGAACGCUGGCGGCGUGCUUAACACAUGCAAGUCGAACGGUGAAGCAGGAGCUUGCUCUUGUGGAUCAGUGGCGAACGGGUGAGUAACACGUGAGCAACCUGCCCCUGACUCUGGGAUAAGCGCUGGAAACGGCGUCUAAUACUGGAUAUGUGAUGUGACCGCAUGGUCUGCAUCUGGAAAGAAUUUCGGUUGGGGAUGGGCUCGCGGCCUUUCAGCUUGUUGGUGAGGUAAUGGCUCACCAAGGCGUCGACGGGUAGCCGGCCUGAGAGGGUGACCGGCCACACUGGGACUGAGACACGGCCCAGACUCCUACGGGAGGCAGCAGUGGGGAAUAUUGCACAAUGGGCGGGAGCCUGAUGCAGCAACGCCGCGUGAGGGAUGACGGCCUUCGGGUUGUAAACCUCUUUUAGCAGGGAAGAAGCGAAAGUGACGGUACCUGCAGAAAAAGCACCGGCUAACUACGUGCCAGCAGCCGCCGCGG
rnacentral:rRNA from 1 species